rfam:Rhizophagus irregularis DAOM 197198w jcf7180003173070, whole genome shotgun sequence.
UCAGUGGUAGAGCGGUCGGCUGGUAACUGACUAGUCGGGCGUAGGUUCGAAUCCUACUUGAAAAG